UAGGGAAUCUUCGGCAAUGGGGGCAACCCUGACCGAGCAACGCCGCGUGAGUGAAGAAGGUUUUCGGAUCGUAAAGCUCUGUUGUAAGAGAAGAACGUGUGUGAGAGUGGAUAGUUCACACAGUGACGGUAACUUACCAGAAAGGGACGGCUAACUACGUGCCAGCAGCCGCGGUAAUACGUAGGUCCCGAGCGUUGUCCGGAUUUAUUGGGCGUAAAGCGAGCGCAGGCGGUUUAAUAAGUCUGAAGUUAAAGGCAGUGGCUUAACCAUUGUUCGCUUUGGAAACUGUUAAACUUGAGUGCAGAAGGGGAGAGUGGAAUUCCAUGUGUAGCGGUGAAAUGCGUAGAUAUAUGGAGGAACACCGGUGGCGAAAGCGGCUCUCUGGUCUGUAACUGACGCUGAGGCUCGAAAGCGUGGGGAGCAAACAGG
rnacentral:rRNA from 1 species